GAUGAAGAACGCAGCGAAAUGCGAUAAGUAAUGUGAAUUGCAGAAUUCAGUGAAUCAUCGAAUCUUUGAACGCACAUUGCGCCCCCUGGUAUUCCGGGGGGCAUGCCUGUCCGAGCGUCAUUACAACCCUCAAGCUCAGCUUGGUGUUGGGCCCCGCCGUCCCGGCGGGCCCUAAAGUCAGUGGCGGUGCCGUCCGGCUCCGAGCGUAGUAAUUCUUCUCGCUCUGGAGGUCCGGUCGUGUGCUCGCCAGCAACCCCCAAUUUUUUCAGGUUGACCUCGGAUCAGGUAGGGAUACCCGCUGAACUUAAGCAUAUCAUAAGCGGAGGA
rnacentral:misc_RNA from 1 species